AAUAUAUAAAAUUAAAAAUUAUGUAAUUUAUAAACAUGAAAUAGAUAUGGAUGUUAGGUAAUACCGGAUGUUAAAUUAAUAUAUAAAUAUUUAACUUAAUACGUACAUUAUUAUUUUAUUAAUUUAUCGUCACACGUCAUUUACCAGUUGCCUAAUUACGAAAAGUUUCAUAUGAUAUUAACCUCAAAAAUGAUCUUUGAAAACAAACAACAACAAAUAACUCAAAGAAAUAACUACAUACUACAUAAUAAUAACUGAUAAUAAUGACUUUUAAUGGUAUAAAGGCUGAUGAAGUUUUAGACAACCAAUACAAGAUUCAGAACUCGGCAUCGCGAUAAACAAGUAAAAUUGUACAUUCAGGAACUCGUUUAAAUAUUAUAGGUUGAUUGAAGAAUAAUCUACAAUUGAUUAGAGCCUAUGACGAUGCGAAGAUAAUUAAUCACCUAACUUUAAGAAACCAGCCUAAAGAAGUUUACAUGCAUCUCAUCUAACCAUUAUAGGUACAUUUUAUCUUCUAGAUCAGUAGUGAUUUUUCAUAAUUUGAAUGAACUCACAGAUAGCAAUGGGGCACCGCACCGAAGCAGUAUUACAAAAUGUGAAAUAAAACUGUAGUACAUAUUGCUCUAUAAAAUUUAAUAGAAAUAAAUUUAUUUAUGAAAAUUAAUGAAGUUUUAUCUUUCCUAGGAAAAAAAUAACAAUUAUAUUUUGAACAAUUAAUUUAGAACA